rnacentral:lncRNA from 1 species
AAUGGAUGAAGAACAUGUAUGUGCAAGUAUAAACACCACAUGGGCAGCAAGAAGGAAAGAAAACAGCAAGGAACACACCACAUAGGCAGCAAGGAAUCAGAAAUUAAAGCAUGGAGGAGUGGGAAGUGAUGAGGAUAGCACACACACACACACACGGCAAUGGAAUGGAGUUGGCAGAUUUCUACAACAUUGGUAGUGAAUGGAUAGCAAGGAAUGGCAGAAAUUGGACCACUAUGAGGUGGAUUUCUGGUUGGUCUUCCACUUAUAACUUUGGGUGGCUUUGGAAUGAUUGUUUCUAGGUGGAAAGAGCACAAAAAACAGCACACACACAUGCAAAAUGGAGCUGGCAGCUUCACAUCCUUCCAUUGCCGUGAGUGCCUUGUCCAUUACCUUGCAUUGCUUGACAUUUUCAACCUCUAUAUAAACACCAUUCAGCCUUCAAGGAAGAACACACAGCCAUUCAUACACAUUUCCAUUAGUUCCAAGGCUUGCAAAGAAGGAGGAGUGCUUGGAGUUGUGCUAGCCAUUCCAUUGGAGUUGUUGGAGCAUUCUAGGUGUCUUCUACUUUGUUUCUCUAUGUUUAAUAUCAAUUGUUUUUGUUUAAUUGCAAGUAUGAGGAACUAAACCCUUACUUAGCUAGGGUGAAGUUCGAAGCCAUGAACAUGUUUGAGAUAUGAAUUGAUUUCUUCCAAUUGUGAUUUAAUAAGUUGUGAAUGCAAUUCAAUUAACUACUUUCUUCAAAACUAAUUCUUGUAUGUUGAUUAAGGAUGCAUACUUAGUUUUCAUGCAUGAAUUUGAUGCUAGGAUAUAAAAUGAGUUUCACCUAAUCGUUACAAGUUUAUAUUCAUUGGUAGUGAAGGUUGCUAGUCACAAUCGCGUUAAUUGAAUUCUUGGCAAACGUAUCAUGCAUUCAUAGUUACGAAUGCCUCGUUAACACUUAUGAUUUUCAUAGAACGUAAUGAUCUUUGAUUGUAUCUCUAUUAUGCAUUCAUGUAGAGGACUUUUGGAGAAUAAUUUGGAUUGUCGUAUGCAUUCAUCCAAUUCAAUAAAUCAAGGAAAAACUGAGGAUUAAUUCGUGCAUCACGGUUAAUCUGGGGUGUUGAGUUUCAUAAUCUAUUGAAAAGCAAUUGGAAAUCAAUUCAUGUACAAGUGUGUCAUGUGUGAAGAAUGGAUCUCUAGCUAAUCCAUAAACCAUCUAUUUAGUUUUACUUUUUGUUGUUAUCUCAAUCUCAUCCAAACCAAUACCUCCCAUUUACUUUCUUGUAUCGAAGUGUGUUUAAGUUUGUUUAGUUUGUGCCUUAAAGUAUUUUGAACUCUUUGAGCCUAGUUUAGUGUUUUAAAGCCUACUUUUGUGUUUUUAAGUUUCUUCUUAUAUUCUUGAGUCUUAUAUUUGUUGAUUAGCAUCCCUAGUUAAUCCCCGGUCUAGAACGAUCCCUACUUGCAUCAUUACUACAAUUGUCAUCAAUAGGGUUUAAUUUGUGUGUCAAGUAAUUUUACGCACCAAAUUUUGGCGCCGUUGCCGGGGAUUAGCAAAAUUGCUAAUCCCUUGUGUUUUUUUUGCCGUGUGUUUUUAGUGUAAUUUACCUAGUUUCUUAUUUUGUUUUGUUUUCUUGGUUUAGGUACUAAUGCAUGACGCGGAGUUCUCAAACUGUGCAUAUCUUGGACUUUAACAACGAUUUUGAACGUGAUUUGAGAAGAAAGAGGAGGCAUCCCGAACCUAGUGAACCUAGUUCAAGUUCAGAGGCCGAAUCUGAGUUUGAAGAAGUGAAAGAAGAAGUUAUGGCAACAGACAAUCGGACCAUUAAAGAGCUUUCGGCCUCGGGGUUGACCAAUGCUGCACCAUUAUGCAUUCAAUACCCCGCGGCUGCCCAAGGCAAGACCGAUGAAUUCGAGUUGAAGUCAAGCUUGUUGCACCACAUUCUGAAAUACCAUGGGCUUUCCAUGGAAGAGCCCAACAAGCAUCUCAAGGAAUUCGAGGUUGUUUGUUCGAGCAUGACACCCAUAAAUGUCGACGGGAACAUUCUGAUGAUGAAGGCUUUUCCAUUCUCACUUUUGGAAAAGGCGAAGGAUUGGCUUUACGAGUUAGCACCCGGAACGGUUACAUCUUGGGAUAGUAUGAAAAGAGCUUUCUUGGAGAAGUUUUUCCCAACUUCAAGAGUCAUUCUCUUGAGGAAACGGAUUAGUGGCAUCCAACAAGAUCGAGGUGAAUCAUUUCCUUCUUAUUAUGAACGUUUUAAAUCACUUGUUGCUUCUUGUCCACAGCAUCAAAUAAAGGAGGAGUUGCUCAUUCAAUACUUCUACGAAGGACUCCUUCCCAUGGAAUGCCAAAUGCUUGAUGCCUCGGCGGGAGGUGCGUUGGUGGAUAAAACUCCGGGGGCUGCAAAAGUUCUAAUUGCCAACCGAGCACAUAAUGCACAACAAUACGAAGGUGUUGGACAAAGAGACCCCCCACGGCCACAAGUGAAUGAGGUAAGUUCUAUGCCCGAAAUUCAAUCCCAAUUAGCUAACCUUACUUCUAUUGUUUCUCAGUUGGCCGAGGGAAUGAAGAUUCAUGGACCAAGUGUGUGUGGCGUGUGCUCUAUGCAAGGACAUGCCAAUGAUCAAUGCCCUCAAUUGAUUGAGAAUAGCGGUUGGGAAUCUGCCAAUGCCGUGGGUUUUGGGAACCAAAAUCAACUACGCCAUGAUCCAUACUUUAAUACCUACAAUCCGGGGUGGAGGGACCAUCCAAAUUUCAAAUGGCGGGAUCCUCAACAACCCCAACAACAAGGAGGAUUUAGGCAGCAACCACUGGGCUUUUAUACAAAGCCAUUCGUCCCCAAUCAAAACCAAGUGCAAUCUGCCCCAACAACCUCAGGUAUGUCUUUGGAUAAUGAUCAAGUUGUAAGUUACUUACUACUUUGACGCAGGAAGUACAAACUCAAAAUAAGGAGAGACAAAUCCAAGACAAACGGGUGGACAAUUUGGAGAAGCAAAUGGGUCAAAUUGCAGAAUUUAUGGGGCAAAUUAGAGAACAAGGCAGAUUGCCUAGUUCAACCGUUAUGAACCCAAAGGGAGGAUUUGAAACCGCUAAGGCCAUCAUGUUAAAAAGUGGUAAACAGGUUGGAACGGACUCAAAUACAUCCAAAUCAAGUCAAGACGAGGAGGACAAGUUGCUGCAAGAAGAAGCACAGGGAGCAAAGCCCAAGGCCAAGGAUGACCAAACCUUGCCGAAUUCAUCUAGUCCUCCUAAACCGUCCCAAACCACCAAGGUAAGUCCCAAUUCAACUUUUUCUAGUUCUAUUCCACUAAAUGUGCCCUUUCCUGGCAGGUUUAGGCAAUCAAAGAAGGAAGAAGCUGAGAAGGACAUUCUAGAUACCUUUCGGAAAGUUCAAGUCAAUAUCCCGCUCCUUGAUGCGAUUAAGCAAGUCCCGAGGUAUGCUAAGUUUUUUAAAGAACUUUGUACAACAAGGAGAAGGAUUUCGAACAAAGAGGUGGUUCAAGUAAGUGAAAAUGUCUCUGCUGUGUUACAAAGGAAAUUACCCCCUAAAUGCAAAGAUCCGGGUAGUUUUACAAUUCCGUGCGUUAUAGGUAAUACUAAGUUUGAACAAUGCAUGUUAGACUUAGGGGCUUCAAUUAAUGUUAUGCCAUACUCUAUUUAUGCAUCUAUGAACUUAGGUGAGCUUAAAAAUGAUGGUGUGAUAAUUCAAUUAGCCGAUCGUUCUAAUGCAUAUCCAAAGGGUGUUUUGGAAGAUGUUUUGGUGCAGGUUGGUAACUUGAUUUUUCCAGCAGAUUUCUAUGUGCUUGACAUGGAAGAUUCACCCCAUUCCACCCCAUUGCCGAUUUUAUUAGGGAGGCCCUUCAUGAAAACAGCCCGCACCAAGAUAGAUGUGUUUAAAGGAACUUUAACGAUGGAAUUUGAUGGGGAAGUCAUUGAUUUCAAUCUUUCUGAAAGUAUUAAAUUUCCUAAAGACGAUCAUUCUUGCUUUUCUAUUGAUAUAAUUGAUGAUUUGGCGCAGGAUUUUCUCGAUUGUUUGGAGAGGGAUACACUUGAAACAACAAUUGCACAAGGAAUUGGGCAAAAAUCUGGUUUUGCCAUGCCUAGAAGUGUGGAGGAGGCCGAGAUAGUGGCUGCCCUUGAGUCACUACCUCAAUAUCAUGGUAAGCCUUCUAACCCAAUUUCAAUUUCAGUCUCCACUAAUAAGUUGUUACCCUCAGUAACUCAGGCACCCGUACUUGAGCUUAAACCGUUGCCCGAUCAUUUAAAGUACGUCUUUCUGGGAGAUAACGAGACAUUACCCGUCAUUGUCUCCUCAUCACUCACGGCCAUAGAGGAGGAGAAGUUGAUCCGAGUGUUGAAAGAGCACAAGACGGCCAUUGGGUGGACUUUGGCCGAUAUUAGGGGAAUAAGCCCGACUACGUGCAUGCAUCGCAUACUUCUAGAGGAGGGGGCUAAACCAACUCGAGAGGCUCAGCGCCGUCUCAACCCUCCAAUGAUGGAAGUUGUGAAAAAGGAGAUUAUCAAACUUCUUGAUUGUGGAGUAAUUUAUCCGAUCUCUGAUAGUCGUUGGGUAUCACCGGUGCAAGGUGUUCCGAAGAAGUCCGGAGUGACAGUGGUGAAAAAUGCCGAGAAUGAGCUUGUGCCAACCCGUAUCCAAAACAGGUUGGAGAGUGUGCAUUGAUUAUAGGAAGCUCAACGCCACCACAAGGAAGGACCACUUCCCUUUGCCGUUCAUUGAUCAAAUGCUUGAAAGGUUAGCCGGUCAUUCUUUUUAUUGUUUCCUUGAUGGUUAUUCUGGAUAUAAUCAGAUUGUCAUAGCGCCGGAUGAAUGACCAAGAAAAGACAACUUUUUACAUGCCCCUUUGGUACUUUUGCUUAUCGUCGCAUGCCUUUUUGGUUUAUGCAAUGCUCCGGCCACGUUUCAAAGGUGUAUGGUAAGUAUCUUUUCAGAUUUUGUGGAAAAGAUUAUUGAGGUAUUUAUGGAUGAUUUCAGUGUGUUUGGUGAUUCAUUUGAUGGUUGUUUGGAAAAUCUCACAAAAAUUUUGAAACGAUGUGUAGAAACUAACCUUGUGCUUAAUUGGGAAAAAUGUCACUUUAUGGUUAGACAAGGCAUAGUUCUAGGGCAUAUUGUUUCAGAAAGAGGAAUUGAAGUGGAUAAAUCGAAAAUAGAUCUUAUACGCUACUUACCCUCUCCUACUUCGGUUCGAGAGAUUCGUUCGUUUCUUGGUCAUGCAGGAUUUUAUAGGCGAUUUAUCAAGGACUUCUCCAAGAUCUCAAACCCUCUUCGCCGUCUCCUCCAGAAAGAUGUGGCAUUUGACUUCAACGAGGAGUGUGAGAAGGCGUUCAAUCACCUCAAAGAAAUGCUAACUUCGGCCCCUAUCAUAGUUCCACCGGAUUGGAGCUUUCCUUUUGAGCUUAUGUGUGAAGCUUCUGAUUAUGCAUUAGGAGCUAUUUUGGGGCAAAGGAAGGAAAAGAGGCCGCAUGUUAUCUAUUAUGCCUCUCGGACUUUAAAUGAUGCACAAUUGAAUUAUUCUACCACUGAAAAAGAACUUCUUGCUGUUGUAUUUGCUUUAGAUAAAUUCCGUUCUUAUUUGCUUGGUACUAAAGUUAUUAUUUAUACUGACCAUGCAGCAUUGAAGUAUUUAUUCACCAAGAAGGAAGCCAAACCACGACUCAUUCGUUGGAUGCUUCUUCUCCAAGAGUUCGAUAUCGAAAUCUGGGAUAAAAAGGGAAGUGAAAACGUGGUGGCUGACCACUUGAGCCGUAUGGUGCAUGAGGAGGAUGUCGUGCCUAUCAUAGAGACAUUCCCAGAUGAGCAACUGAUGUCCGUCAAGGUAAGUGAACCGUGGUAUGCUGAUUUGGUGAAUUAUUUGGUGUCUAAACAUGUUCCUAGUGAAUUACUUAAACACCAAUGUGAUAAAUUGAAGAAAGAGGCACGGUUUUAUGUGUGGGAUGACCCGUAUUUAUGGAAAUAUUGCCCUGACCAAGUUAUACGUAGGUGUGUACACGAUUCUGAGUUUAAUGUUAUUCUAACCUUUUGUCACACUUAUGCUUGUGGGGGGACACUUUGGCACUCAAAGAACAGCACUUAAGGUGUUAGAAUGUGGUUUCUAUUGGCCUACCAUCUUUAGGGAUGCUAGAACAUUUUGCAUGUCUUGUGAUAGAUGCCAAAGAACGGGCAAUAUUGGUCCUAAACAACAAAUGCCGCAAACUCCUAUUUUUAGUGUUGAAAUCUUUGAUGUUUGGGGUAUAGAUUUCAUGGGUCCUUUCCCUCCAUCUUUUGGUUUCACUUAUAUCUUGCUAGCUGUUGAUUAUGUUUCCAAAUGGGUGGAAGCCAAAGCCACCCGAACUAACGAUUCAAAGGUUGUUGCAGAUUUUGUGAAAACUAAUAUCUUUGCUAGGUUUGGCAUGCCUAGAGUUCUCAUUAGUGAUGGAGGCUCUCACUUUUGUAAUCGAACCAUUGAAGCUUUGCUCAAGAAGUACAAAGUGACGCAUAAGGUAUCCACCCCUUAUCAUCCUCAAACCAAUGGGCAAGCGGAAGUUUCAAAUCGGGAGAUCAAGCAAAUUCUUGAGAAAACCGUGGGGCCUUCAAGGAGAGAUUGGAGUUUGCGCUUGGACGAUGCAUUGUGGGCCUAUCGUACGGCCUACAAAACCCCUCUAGGUAUGUCACCUUUUCGCCUCAUUUAUGGUAAACCAUGUCAUUUUCCCGUUGAAUUGGAACAUAGGGCGCAUUGGGCUGUGAAGACCUUCAACAUGGACAUAGAUGCAGCCGGGGUGCAUAGAAAGCUCCAACUAAAUGAACUCGAGGAGAUUAGGCAUGACGCUUAUGAGAACGCUCGAAUUUACAAGGACAAGACCAAGGCAUAUCAUGACAAGAUGCUUCGUACCAAAACAUUCUCCAAGGGGCAGAAAGUGCUCCUAUUUGACUCUCGCCUUAGGUUAUUCCCCGGUAAGUUACGUUCCAAGUGGAUUGGGCCAUUUAUUGUUACUAAUGUCUUUCCUCAUGGUGCAGUCCAAGUCCAAAGCUUGAAAACAGGACAUGAAAUCAAGGUUAAUGGGCAUCGAUUGAAGCCCUAUUACGACCUGUUUGAGGAGCAUGUGGUGGAGGAUCUAUCCCUCCAUGCCGUGGGCACCAAAGAUCAUUGAUGAAUGAUAGACGUCCGGCUGCACGACGUUAAAGAAAGCGCUUCUUGGGAGGCAACCCAUGGAAAUAAAGAAGACCUAGGAAUUUCCGACUCCAAAACCAGGUGUUUGCGUUCUUUAACCCUCCUCUCUGUUGCUUUUACUUGGCCAUGUUUAUCAUGUUUCCUCGUUGUUUGUUUGUUUGCUUUUGUGUGAGUUUAUGUUUGAAACAUUGAGGACAAUGUUAGAUUUAAGUGUGGGGGGGGUAAACAAGUUGCUGUUGCAUGAUUUUCGUGGGAUUUUAUUCACCUAUCACUUACAAUGUUGUUUCUUGCUGUUUUAAGUGUUUUUAGUGUGUUUUUAAGCAUGUUAGUAUGUUUUGACAUAAAAAUCCGAAAAUUUGACAAAAAUUUGAAAAAAAAUUGUUUUUUGAAAAAGCCAAAAAGAGUUGUUUUUGUGUGUUUGUUUGUGUCUUAGGGUACCUUCCAACACAAUAAUGAGGAUUUGGUUUGUUAAUUGCAUGACUGUUAAAGAAAGUUAUAAACAUGGAUGGAAGUUUGAUAUGCUCUUGAUUUAUGCUUGGUUAUAGUUAUAGUUUACGAAUUCACAUGUAAUCACAAAGAAAAAAAUCAGUUUUUGUAACAUGCUUGAAGGAAGGAACUCAAACUAACACUACAACCUUGAGAGACUAUAGCCUAAUACGUUCUUUGGAGAGUUAUUAAUCUGUGCAUUUUUGUUUUCUAAAGUCGUUGCAUGAUCUCAUCAUUCUUUGCUUGGUUGCUACUUAGAAGGUGUUUCAUCAUUUAGUUCCAAAUACUAGAACUUAUGCCCGUUCCAUUCAAAGCAUGACAUUGAUUUGCAUAACACAUAUUCAAGAUGAAGUUGUGUAGUGAACUAGAGCCAAAAAGCUUAUCCCGUGCAUAUUUGUUUAAGUUUAACCCCGUUGAGCCUUGUUUAGCCUGUUUUCUUUGUUAAACCACAUUUCCCUUACCUAGCCUAGAUUAGGACUAUCCAUACCCUUGUUUUUAAAGCAUAAUGAAGCAUGACUUAAAAUGAAUUCCUUUUGAUUGUCCUUAUGCAGAAAACAAGUGUGGGGGAAUGAGAUUUUUUGUUUUUGUGUGCCAAAAGAAAGUAAUAAGGCACGGAUUAGAAAAGAAAAAAAAAAAAAAAGAAAAAAAAAAGAAAGAAAAAAGAGUUUGAAAUAAGUGAGGAAAGGCUCACAAGUGUUGUUUGUUGUUGAAAUCGGCCCUAAAAAGUUGAAUGAAUAACCCCAUUGUGUUUAAAGUUAGUUGCUGCAUUCAAAGGGAAUUCUAAGCAUCAAUUUCAUUACUUUGCUUAUUAUGCUUUAAAAACGUUUGUUUCCUUACCUUUCAUUGUUAGCCAAUCAACCCUAACCCCGUUACAACCCUUAACUUCAAUCUUGAGUGUUAUGUGUUUCAAUAUGUGGAGUUUGGCAUUGGUACGAGCAUAUGGUGUCCCUGGUUCUCGCAUCUAAGUAGUAGCAUUCCAGUCAUGAGAUCAUAUCUAUACAUGCUUAAUAACUCCAGAAAUUACUUUCUUUGCUAUAAACAUAUGUGAGUGUUCGUUUUCAUGUUUACAUCAAUCUUCUCACAUACACCUAGUGUAGGGUGAGUAGUCAGAAAAUCAGAGUGAAAAUAAGAGUGUAUCUUGUAAGGAAUUGAGCAAAUUCUCUAAGGCAUGUUACUACAUUCAAAACAUCGUUUUAAUUGGUUAUAUGUGAACUAGUAUGUGGUGACUAUGAUUAAGUAUGUGCUCAAGGGUAGGGAAGGCCAAAAUAUGUGGUUAUGAUGAUCUUUUGCAUGUCAUGUUGCAUUGAAAAUCCCUAAGGUAAAUGUUGGAAGGUUUAGGUUUUGUUUUGUUCUUAUGCUUUGUUUCUUUGUUUUGCUCGAGGACUAGCAAAAGCUAAGUGUGGGGGAAUUUGAUAGGAGCAUAUUUAUGCGACUUAGUAUGUUUGUUUUCGUGCAUUUAUGUUCUUAGUUCUUAGUUAUGUUAGUAGUUUUAAGCCAUUUUGUGUGUUUGUAGGUUCUUUGGGCCAAUGAUGCAAGAAGGUGCAUUUUGGAGCACUUUGGAGCAUUUUUGGGCCAAGAUUGGAUGGUGCAAACAUGGAGACAUGAGGAUGGACGAAUUUGAUGAUGAUUCAAAGGGCUAGAAAUCUGCAUGUGUGUGUGCAAAGUGUUGGCCUACAAUUUCAAACAUCAUAGAUGCCAUGUGAUGGCAGAAAAUGUGUUUAUUGCUAGCUAAAUGGAUGAAGAACAUGUAUGUGCAAGUAUAAACACCACAUGGGCAGCAAGAAGGAAAGAAAACAGCAAGGAACACACCACAUAGGCAGCAAGGAAUCAGAAAUUAAAGCAUGGAGGAGGAGUGGGAAGUGAUGAGGAUAGCACACACACACACACACGGCAAUGGAAUGGAGUUGGCAGAUUUCUACAACAUUGGUAGUGAAUGGAUAGCAAGGAAUGGCAGAAAUUGGACCACUAUGAGGUGGAUUUCUGGUUGGUCUUCCACUUAUAACUUUGGGUGGCUUUGGAAUGAUUGUUUCUAGGUGGAAAGAGCACAAAAACAGCACACACACAUGCAAAAUGGAGCUGGCAGCUUCACAUCCUUCCAUUGCCGUGAGUGCCUUGUCCAUUACCUUGCAUUGCUUGACAUUUUCAACCUCUAUAUAAACACCAUUCAGCCUUCAAGGAAGACACACAGCCAUUCAUACACAUUUCCAUUAGUUCCAAGGCUUGCAAAGAAGGAGGAGUGCUUGGAGUUGUGCUAGCCAUUCCAUUGGAGUUGUUGGAGCAUUCUAGGUGUCUUCUACUUUGUUUCUCUAUGUUUAAUAUCAAUUGUUUUUGUUUAAUUGCAAGUAUGAGGAACUAAACCCUUACUUAGCUAGGGUGAAGUUCGAAGCCAUGAACAUGUUUGAGAUAUGAAUUGAUUUCUUCCAAUUGUGAUUUAAUAAGUUGUGAAUGCAAUUCAAUUAACUACUUUCU